GGACAAACGAUUUAUAGAGAUAAAAGAAUUUUUGAUGGUCGAUUGAUUUUUUUUUCCUUCCUCUUCGUCUUCCUCUCUCUGUCUCUCUCUCGAACUCGCGAAUUGACAAUCGAAGAAGAAGAUGAAAUUGGAGGAGAUUGAAUCGGCGGAGGUGAUUGAAUUGAUCUCAGUCGGUGGAGGUGAUUGAAUUGUUCUUUGAAAUCGAGAAUUUCCUUCAACAAAUCGGCUUGUCUCCGUGAUUGUCGAUGUGUGGAUACUCUGAGUGUGAUGGAAGCUAUGUGGUUUGUUAGAGGUCUCUUUACUUCUGCAACUGGUGGCCCCACUGGACCACCUUCUUCAAGCUUCGUGAGGGCUGAAAUGCGACCAAGCGGGUUCCUUAAAUGAACAAACUUGCAAUGAUGGACUGAGAUGGAGUCUGCUACCACAUAUUCGGCCAUGAAGAAAGAGUUGACAGAGAUUAGGUGCUUUCAGUAUGGAUUAGAUGUGAAUUGCUGCUGCUUUCAGUAUGGAUUAGAUGUGAAUUGCUGCUGCUUUUUUUUUUUUAUAUUCAUCUGUUUAAAUAAAGAGUUCAUGAGGAAAUUCUGAAUGUAAAUUGCUGCUGCUUUCAGUAUGAAUUGAUGUGAAUUUGAAUCCGAAAUUCUGAAUU